GGCUGCCCCGCAGGCGCACAAACGGCUGUUUUGAAGUUGAGUGGCGGUGGCUACCCAGGCCGUCUAGGGUACGGUUUCUGACUCCGGCUCCUGAUUUUCAGGAGAGUGACAUAUCGACUUCUGGCGGCCUUGGACGUGCAUGACUCCCUGAGGCUCAGGAAUUAGGAGUGUGCUUAGAAGGAAAGGGAUUCCGUGAAGGCGCCGCGUUGCGAACGCAGCAUUGCUGGCGGAUCUUAGGCCUAGCCAAGCCUCGGAUUCCGGCUGGAGUCCGGCUGGCGGCUGUAAGGAGCGCCCAGUCAGGAGGCGCGUCCGGACCCAGGACCGCCGGCUUGCGACAGGCUGCUCUAAGAACAUUUAUAUUUAAAGUAUACAGAAAUGAAAAGAAAGGUAGUGAAUGCUGCCAAGCUGAGGUUGAGUCCAAAUGAAGAAGCUUUUAUCUUGAAGGAAGAUUAUGAAAGAAGACGAAAGCUAAGAUUGCUACAGGUUCGAGAACAAGAAAGGGAUAUAGCUUUACAGAUAAGAGAAGACAUAAAACAGAGAAGAAGCCAGCAAUUCACUCAUUUGGCAGAGGAGCUAAGGGCAGAAUGGGAAGAAUCACAAACUCAGAAAAUUAAGAACUUGGAAAAAUUGUAUUUGGCAAGUUUAAGAAAUGUGGGAGAGGGACAUCGACAGGCCAAAGAAAAUGAACCUGAUUUGAAUGCUCUAGCAUGGCGGGCUGCAGAAAGGAAAAAAAGAGCAGAAGCGAGGCAUAAAGAGGCCCUGAAAGAACAGAAAAAUCAAAAAGAAAUGUUAAUGAAGCAAAAAACUCGGCAUAUAAAAGCUCGAAAGAAAGCACUGCUUGUGGAAAAGGAGAGAUCUGCAAAAAUUACAAGUUUGCCGCCUCCUCCACCAUCUCUUUUUGAGAACAUUGAAGUAAAGAGAAUUUCUUCAGUGAAGACCAGUAGUUCUACCUACCAUCAUCUUUAUACUCUGGUGAAUAGGGAGAUGGAUGCAAUGCAGCCAGAUGCUCAUUUGGCUGCUGAAGAAGAAGCUAAACGAUUGGAAGAUCUACAAAAACAAGUAGCACAAGAGAGAAUGGAACAGUUUGAAAAGGCACAUCUACGAGGUUUCCAUGCAAUGAAAAAGAUCCGUUUUGCUCAAAAUCAAGAGAAACUAAUGAAAGAACUCAAACAGCUACAACAAGAGGACCUGGCACGGAGAAGACAGACUGUAGCACAAAUGCCACCCCAAGUGGUUGAACUUCCAUAUAAACGCAAUGAAAUGAAAGAAGACUGGCAGAGAGAGCUGGAAUUUGCCUUUGAAGAUAUGUACAAUGCAGACAGGAAGGUGAAAGGAAACCUGAUUUUGCACCUUGAACCAGAGCCUUUGCCCACUGUGAUUGAUCAGGCCCAAGAUGAAGAGCUGGACCUUUCAAUGGAACAAGAAAAUUUAAGUGAAACUGAGAGCCUGCAAGUGACAGAAACUGAAGAAAUAUGUUCUAGUGAAACAGAUGUUCCCUUGGCAAUAAAAGCCCAACAGGACCCUUCAAACAUUCUUUUUAAAAAAUUAUUAAAUAAGAUUCGAAGCCAGAAAUCUCUCUGGACAAUUAAAUCCACGUCUGAAGAUGAAAGCAAAGAGAUUACAGCUGUUAAUGAAACUGAGAGUAAAGCACUAACAGUUGAAUCAGAAACAAUUGCUAGUGAAGAGAGAACAUUAUCUGGGAAGGAACAAGUUGAAAGUGAUACGCUAACAAUUGAGUCUGGACCACUUACUAGUGAAGCUAAACCAUUUUCUUGCAGUAUAAACUCUGGAAAGGAACAAGAAAUGAAUGAGACUCAGCCUACUACAGCUGUAGCUCAGAAUUCAGUUCUACUUCAUCCUCAAGAAGAAGCAGCCAGAAUUAGAAUAUCAGCAAGGCAGAAACAGCUAAUGGAAAUAGAAGAGCAGAAGCAAAAGCAGUUGGAAUUACUUGAAAAAAUUGAAAAACAGAAGUUAAGAUUAGAAACUGACUGCUUCAGGGCUCAUCUGGAAGAAGAAAAAAGAAAAAAAGCUCUACAAACUCAGGUCGACAUUGUUCCAGCAUCAUGUGACGUAAUUUCUGAUGAAGAAAGUCAUAGGCAGAUGAUUCGUAACUAUCAACAUCAGCUUUUACAACAAAACAGGUUGCACAGACAGUCUGUUGAAACAGCUGUGAAACAAUUACAUGAAUAUCAGACUAUGUUAAAGGAAAGGUGCCCAUCCAUGUUAGCUACAUCAUUGACAUCUAUUUUUUCAGUACCACCACAGAAAUCUGAAGGACCCACUGUUACGUCACAGCAUUGGGAUCACGCUCAGAGACCCAAGUUACAUCCUAACGAAUAUCAACCCCUGAAACCCAUACAGAUCUCCAAAUUAGAACAAGAUCAUUUUCAGGUGCCAAAACAGAACCUCAUUCCACAAACACAGGUAGAAACAACAGAAACAGUAAGCACUUCACGUGUUUUAGCUAAGCAAUCUUUGGAAUCACAAGAACAUCUAAGGCUAUUCUCACAGGCGGAAACACAACAGAGAGACUAUAAAUUGGUCCCUAAAGAUUCUCAUAGACCUUCAAGGACUUUAUCACAUGACAGGCUGCUAAUAUUACCAGAUGCUAAAAAAAUAUCUCAAACAUCUAGGGCAAUGACUUUUCAAACUUUAGACUCCCAGCAGGUAUUCUUAGAAAACAGUGAAAGUAUGUCUUCUAAGCUGACUGAACCCUCUUCAUUCCUACCCCUGGCAGCUGAGCAUUCUUUUAGUUCUCUGCCUGCUGAAACUGAAUCUGGAAGAAUCCAGGAACCCUUUUCAAACAGGGAAAAAAGUACAGUUUCCUUAUUCCAUUCUGUAGUCAGCCAGAUGCAGGAUAGGUCUUUACGAUCCUCACAGCAUAUUGUAGCCCAACACAGUAGUUUGAAGACUCUCCAAGAACAGUUGGAACUACAAAAGGAAGUUCUUCGAACAAGACAGGAAGCUCAGGAACAAUUGCUUAUGUGCAAACAGAAAGAACUGGAAGAGCAAAUUGGCCUGUCUUUAUUUCCCAUGGUAGCUCCACAUUCAUUUGCUUCACGGCCUUCUGCUGAAGCUGAAUCGGGGAGAAUCCAGGAAUCUUCUCCAACCAAGGAUACUGCUGUUUCCUCAGGCCAUCCUGUGGUUCCACAAUUUCAGGAUAGGCUUUUGAGUGUUUCACAGCCUAUUUUAUUACAGCAGAAUAAUUUAAAAUUUCCCCAAGAACAGUGGAAUAUUCAGAGGGACAGCCUUCAGGCUAGGCGGGAAGCCCAGGAAGUAUUAUUUUUACAUGAACAGAAAGAAUUGAAUAGAAGAGUAUCUUUUGAGCAGUCUGAGCCCUCUUCUGUCUCAUCUCAGAUAGCUCAGCAAACUUCAUUACCUUUUGCUGAAACUAAAUAUGGAAAAAUUAAGGAGCAGUAUUCAAGUAAGAGUGAGAAAGGGGUUCUCUCAAGCCAAUGUGAAAUCCUCAAAUCUCAGGAUAGAUCUUUAAGUUUCCAACAGCAAUUCCCACCUCGGCAUGAUGGUUUGAAUUUGCCCCAGGAACAGCUGACUACACAGAGGGAAUCUCUUCAGGCUAGGCAUGAAACCCAGGUGGAAUUACUUCUAAAUAGACGAAAAGAUUUGGAAGACAGUAAGUCUGGACAGAUAAGUUCUUCAUUCUCACCAAUGGUUGCUCAGUGUUCACUAGCUUCACAAGCUUCUGCUAAAGCUGAGCCUAGAAGAAUUCAGAAACUUUAUUUAUCUGAUAAGGAGGAUAUAAUUCCCUCAAGUCAUUUGGUAAUCCCAACAUUUCAGGAUAAGUCUCUUAAUUUUCCACGCCGUGGCCUACCACAGCAAGAAAAUUUGACAACACUCCAACAACAGUCACACAUACAGAAAGUAAUGCUUGGUGCUAAACAAGAAACUCAAGAAUUUAUACACAAACAAUGUGAAUUGGAAAAAAGAAUUACUGCUGAACAGACUGGCCCCUCUUCCUCCCUUUUCCAGGUAGCUAAAUCUGAACCAUUUCAGGAAUUUAUGUCAAUCAAGAGUGACAGUACAGUUCCUUCAAGCCAUUCUAAGAUCCCAAGAUUUCAGGAGAGCCUUUUAAGGUUUUCACAACAUACACUGCCUCUACAAGGUAAUUUAGAGGAACACCAAGAAUGGCUAGAUACAGAGAAAAAGGCCCUUCAUUUUAGCCAGAAACCCCAAGAAAAUGUAUUUUCUGAACAAACUGGUUCGUCUUCAUUCAUACCCCAGUUAGGACAGCUUUCAUUAACUUCAUUACCGUCUGCUGAAUCUGGUACAGUCCAGGAACCUCUUUCAAAACAGAAUGAUAGUAAAACUUCUUCAAGCUAUUCUCAGAUCCCGCAAUUGCAGGAUAGGCUUUUGAGGAUAUCACAUCUUAUCCGCCCUCAACAAGAUAACUUGAAGGCACUUCAAGAGCAGUUAGCUACACAGAGGGAAGCCAUCAUUCAAUCUAAACGGGAAACUCAGGAAGAAUUUCUUUUACAUGAACAGAGGGAAUGGAAGGAAAGAAUAUCUCCUGAGCAGGUUGGCACCUCUUCCUUCUUACCUCUAGCAGCACAGCAUUCAUUUGCUUCAUUACCUAUUACUGAAUCUGAAAGAACUGAAGAACUUUAUCCAACCAAGAAUGAUAAUACAGUUUCCUCAGGUCUUUCUGAGGUAUCAAAAUUGCCUGAUAGACUUUUGGGAUUAUCAAAGUCUGUUUUACCUCAACCAAAUAAUUUGAUUGCACCUCAAGAACACAUGCCUUUACAGACAGAUGCCCUUCCUUCUAGUGAGAAAACUGAGAAAGAAUUGGUUUUGCCCAGACAACAUAAAUAUGAGGAAAAGCUAUUAUCUGAUCACUAUGGUGAUUUGAAGGUACUUCAAGAGCAGUUAGAUAUACAAAGGAAAAGCAUCCGAUCUAGUCAGGAAGUCCAAGAAGAAUUCCUUUUGCAAAGAUUAAGUAAGUUGGAAAAAAGGGUAUUGCCUGUUGUUAACUCUGAAAGAACCAAAGAGCCUCUCCCAACCACAAGUAAGGAUGUUGUUACUUCAGAUCACCUUGAGAUGCCAGGAUCACAGGUUAGCCUUCUGAAUUUAUCACAACCUGUUGUAGCUCAGCAAGAUAAUUUGACAACACUUCAAGAACAGUUGGACUUCCAAAGGGGAGUGGUAUAUUCUGAUGAGAAAGCCCAGGAAAAACUGCUUUUAAACAAACAAACAAAGUUGAACAAAAGUGAAUCUUCUGAACAUGCUGUCUCCUCUUUGUUUCUACCCAAGGAAACAGAGCAUUCAUUUAGUCCAUUACUUUUUGGUGAAGCUAAAUCUAAAAGCAUCUGUGAAUUGUGUUCCUCCAAGUAUGAACAUAUACUUCCCUCAAAUGAUUCUACUUCAAGAUUUCAGGAUAGACUUUUGAGUUUUUCACAACCUGUUUUAGCUCAGCAAGAUAACUUUGGACUUCAGAAGCAACUGGAUCUACAAAGAAAAGUUCUGCAUUGUAGCCAGAAAACCCAAGAAGAAUUGCUAGUACAGAGACAAGUGGCUUUGCAGCAACAGAUGCAUAAACAUCAAGAGACUUUGAAGGACUUCUUUAAAGACGAUCAGACAGGUAAGUCCACAGUUGAAAAUGAUUUACAAACUCAGAAAAUGGAGCAGCUCAGAGAGUGGUUUCCUUAUCUCCAAGACUUAGCAAGAGAUGAUCAGGAAGGCAUUAAUUAUGCAGAUAGGAGCAACUCUCAUGAUAAUCAACUACUUUCAGAAGAUACUGUUGUCAAGCAAAGUGGUGAGCAUCUGGACAAAGAACUGGUUAGGAGAUCCUCAAAGCCACCUCUAGCAAAAGUUAAAUGUGGAUUAGACUUGAACCAACAUGAACUUAGUGCUAUACAAGAAGUAGAGUCACCAGGAAGUGGCAAAACUUCUAUACUAGGUAAAACAGAAUUUUAUCAAGAUAGAGACCCCAUGAGGGUCUCAAUAAGCCGAGAACAAAGUUUACUUGGUAACUCACUGGACCGUGAUCCAUUUGGUCAUCUUCAGUCAGUUGCCCAGAAGAAUGUCUAUGGUGAUGACCAUGAUGAAGCAGCCAAGGUCAAGGAGUCUGUUUUCGAGAAUCAUGCAGUAUUAACUUAUGCUGUGGAGGAAGAAAAGCAUACACAUCUUGGUCCAACUGUGAUACCAGAUAGUAAGGUUAAAACACAAGAGGUUUCUUAUGAGCCAUUAUCUUCAGUAACUAUUUCUACUGGGAGCAUUUUAAGUAAUGAGAACACAGAUUUGAGCCUUAUAGAUCCAGAGGAAGAAUUUACAUCUGAUCAAAUGCACAUUCGACAGAUCGUAGACAAGUACAUAAAUGAAGCAAAUUUGAUGCCUGAAAAAACAGACUUUCGAGUUCCAGCAGUUGACCUUGACUUUCCAGAAUUAGAACACACUUUUCCAAAUUUGCAUCGUCAGCUCUUUAAACCGUUAGAAUCACAUCCAGAUUUUGAUUUAUCAUCAUCUCCUGGGAUUUCUCAAGACAACACAGACUUUUCCAAGAGCUCAGAUUCUUCAUCUGAAAGCCACCAUGCUACUCUGUCACCUGAAAGCACAGUGUCUAAUACAGCAGUGAGGAGCACCAGCCUACAUUCUUUUCUUAAAAGAAGCCUGAACCAGCAAUAUGACCCCAACACAGACCAUGCUGAAGCUCAGAGUUUUGCCACAGAAAAUAUUAUUGAGGGUUGUGAACAAUCUUUUCAAAAGCUUCUGCUAGGAUUUUCUUCACAGGAGGGGAGCCAGCAUGCUGAUCUACCAAGUAUUUUUAGCAUUGAAGCAAGAGAUUCUCCCCAAGUCAUGGAAAAUCAGAACUGCGCCUCUGAACAGAAUGUAAUAUUACAAAUUAAGGAAAAAAGUGUUCAUUUCCAGCCCUCUGUAGAAAAUUUGCUAAGUUCAGUCUUCACUUCAUCUGAUGAGACUAAUGUAUUUGAUAAGUUAAAUGUACAGCAUAGCACUCCAUGUGGUUCUAUCUCUAGUGAGUGCUCAAUAAAAGAGCAAUUAGAAGACGGAAAAGAAAAACUCCACUUUGAAGAAGUAUCUGAAAGAGUGGUUCAUGAAAGGUUACCGAGGCAAGGACCCAUGAAAGAUGAUAAAAAUGGAACCUGUAGGGUUUUAGAUAUAAAUCCUUAUACAGAAGAAACUGACUCUCAAUUAUGGGUAAGAACAGUGGAGAUGGGAACUCCAGUUCAUAUACCACAUUCGUUAACUAGUCAGAAUGAAAAAUAUUUUGAGAAUUCAACAAAAACUGAAACUCCAGAAAUUUUAAGGAACCUGUCUCAACAAGCACAAUCAGAGCUCCUUGUAAGUUCUGCAUCAUUUUCAGUACAGAGCUCUAUUCCAGUUUGGGAGACAGAGUCUGGCCAUGGUAUAAUGGAAGAACCAGAACUUACUUUAGUAAGCAGCAGUGAUAUAAGCAUUGCAGAGAUGGAUUUUGAAAAGUUAACCCUAGAUGACAGAGAGAAUAAGGCAAAGAACUGUUUUCAGGCAAGUGAAUUUCUGCCUCUCCUGCCAGAAAUAGAAACCUCAGAUAGUCCGGCCAUGUUAGAGCAUUCAGGCGAGAUGCCAUCUCCAAAGCAUGCAGAAAAUCUGGUUCCAGAGUGUGCAGCUCUACCAGGAAGCUUACAAGAAGCAUUCUUAAAGAGAAAGAAAUCAUUUAUUGCAAAAUCUUCCCAGAGGCAGAAAGAAAUACGGGAUAAAAUUCGUGUUUCUGAAAAGUCUGUCAAAAGAGUAGACAAGAAGUCUGCAGGUUCAUCUGUAAAUCGCCUGAAAAGCAUGACUGAAGUUAGAGUGUUUCUUCCUGAAGACAGAAAGACUGCAGAAGCCCUCAUGCACCAAAGGACUCUAAGUUAUCAGAAGUGAAACAACAAAAGGAAGCAAAAGCAAGACAAGAAGCUUAUGCCCAAAACAGAGCAAGAGCAAAGGAAUUUCAGAAGAAAACGCUAGAGAAACUUCGAGCCAAAAAUGCAUCCUGAUUUUUUCCAGUGUAGUUUUAUUGUGUGUAGCAUUAGGUGGUAUUAUUUAAAGUCAAUAAAUUUUUAUUUAAGGUAUUCUACGUGUUAAGUUUCA